rnacentral:rRNA from 1 species
GACGUAGGGCGCGAGCGUUGUCCGGAUUUAUUGGGCGUAAAGCGUCCGUAGGUGGCUAGUCAAGUCUGCGGUCAAAGACUGGGGCUUAACCCUGGAAAGGCCGUGGAAACUGACGAGCUAGAGUGCAGUAGGGGUAGAGGGAAUUCCCGGUGUAGCGGUGAAAUGCGUAGAGCUCGGGAAGAACAUCGGUGGCGAAAGCGCUCUACUGGACUGCAACUGACACUCAGGGACGAAAGCUAGGGGAGCGAAUGGG